GAUUAGCUAGUUGGUGGGGUAAGAGCUUACCAAGGCGACGAUCUGUAGCUGGUCUGAGAGGACGACCAGCCACACUGGGACUGAGACACGGCCCAGACUCCUACGGGAGGCAGCAGUGGGGAAUUUUGGACAAUGGGGGAAACCCUGAUCCAGCAAUGCCGCGUGUGUGAAGAAGGCCUUCGGGUUGUAAAGCACUUUUGUCCGGAAAGAAAACCUUUGGGCUAAUACCCUGAGGGGAUGACGGUACCGGAAGAAUAAGCACCGGCUAACUACGUGCCAGCAGCCGCGGUAAUACGUAGGGUGCGAGCGUUAAUCGGAAUUACUGGGCGUAAAGCGUGCGCAGGCGGUUCGUUAAGACAGAUGUGAAAUCCCCGGGCUUAACCUGGGAACUGCAUUUGUGAC
rnacentral:rRNA from 1 species